CCUAAUAGACCAGACAGGGCCCGGACUGGUCGAGUCCCACGCUCCCUUUCAUGCGAGCUCUUCUUCCUCGUGGUCUUCCAUCCUGCCGCCAGCCGCCGCCUACUGCUUCUCCCGCUGGCCGCUGCCGGAUUUCCUCUCGCCCCACUACUACCUUCUUUUCCCCCAUCAUCGGCCGUCUCCAGGUCUCCUUCACCACCGGCACCUCCUUCUCCCCAUGGCCCACUGCCCCGCCAACUCCUCCGCCGCCGGUCCACCUUCUACGCGUGCUGCGCCGCAGGCUUCACCGAUUCUCCACUCCCUCGUGAGAUUGAUGCCUCUGCCCUCUGCCUUCUCACCCCUCCUCCACCCUAAAUCUAUGCCUACUGCAGCAAGGCAGAGAGGUCCAUCCCCCAAACCAGCAAAAUGUGGGGGCUGAUGAGAUUUGCUACUGGUACGUAGAUCGGGACGGCUGAUCAAUGGUCGAGAUUCAUAAUUGGUGCCAUGCCAACAGAGAUAUUUGCAGCAUGAGGAUGGAUAUUGAUCAGUCCUACCAUACCCCUGCAAAUGAGGCUUUGCAUGCUGGGGGUUCUUGUUGGACAUCCACCAAGAGAACCGACAAUUUGGAAAAAGUAAGGAGCUCUGUUCGGUCUCAGGAUGGUUUGCGUGCAUGAGGUCUUGGAACAGUGGCAUCAGACAAUGGUUAAUAGCAGUAAGAUUUUUGAACCAUUGCCGAAGCUGAGGGUGUUGUCUUAUUGUGUAAUGGAUAACCCUCAUUUAGAUCUGGAGUGAGGUGAUAGGAAUAGUAAGCAACAGUAGGAAACCAACGCAAUCUCUUACUAUAUAGUUGUGUGAAGAUGCUCAUCUAUCCUUCAGCAACUGCAAAUUUCUUAAUCCGAUACAAGAACCAGGUCAUAAGCAUUAGUGACACCAUUUAAUUAAGCAAAUGAUCAUGUUUGUACCUUUCAGCUGAGCCAAAGAUUCUAAUAUAUUUCUGUUUAGAAUAGGAAAUGAUUUUUACGCGAGAAACUGCUUUUUGUAGAAAAAAACUUCUGUUAGCAACUAAAUCAAUUUUUUUUUUGCUCGAACAUAAUAAAUCGUAUUAAGAUUGCAUUGUAGACCAUAUGCUCCAUUGCCUGUUGUUAGUGCUUUCAGAAGUACCCCCAGUCUCAUGCUUUUAUGUAGUACAUUGGCUCUACAAUCUACACUGGCUCACUAGCGAGCUGGAAAUGUUUUGUGUAAAUAUAAUGUAGCCUUUGGCUAUUUCUCAAGCAUCAGAAGUGCCAUAGGAUAGAUGGACUGAUAGCCGAAGUUUACUGACGAUGUAGUCCUGGAUCAUGGUGAACUUGUGCUGCCAUUUUGGCUGGAUGUUAUGUGUGCGCACCUGCAUAUCCAAAACAUUAACGUGUGCAUCAAAGGCGCUCGGUCGCGCGUGCCAUGUCAUCAGGUCGAUCGGGUGUGAGGGUUAGCGAGGAGAAAAAACAGAUCGAAAAAAAGAAGAUGGUCGAUUGGGCAGCGGCCAGAUAACGCCUCCACUGCUUUCUCUUCCCCACAAAGCAAACCCUCACCUCCCAGGUUCACACGCAACCUCCGCUCGUCUCCUUGUUUCUCUCCUCCGCCUCUUCCUCCGGGUGUACUUGCGGCUGCAGCGGGAUGGGAGUAAAGGGGGCGAGCAGGAUGGGUGGCCAGCUGAUUUCUUCGAAGGAUCUGGAGCCCAGGGGCGACGCCGCGGAGGACCGGGAGUGGGGGCGAUGGCCAGGCCUGGUGGUGACGGGACGAUUUAGUGGUCGGAGGCGCUACAUCGGAUGCCAGUCAGUCUGCAACGACUCCAGCGCCAGUGUGCCCCUUGGCACCUCCCGCGCCAAGGUCUAUUUCCUUCCUUCCCCUUGCUCCCCUCGCUCCCACCCUCCCUCCCUCCAUUGUUCUGUGUUGGAUUCAUUCAUCAUGGUUGCUGCUCGCUCCUGUUCAUAUUGAUUGGAUCGGGUCGAUGGCUGCCGCAAAUCAUUGGCGUUAGCGUUGACAUCAAUUGGAUCGGUUCUUGCAUGCAAUGCAGGAUCAGAUUUUGCCUUCCGGCUUGUGAAGCAUCUAUCUCUAGGAUCUGUGCCAUGUUACAAAACCUGAACUUGAGUUGUUUUUCAGUUAACUGAAACACACCAGAGAGGUUUCAGACUUUCAGUUGACUCAAGUAAAGUUAAAUUGAUUGACUAUUUGUACAGGUACUCGUUGUGAUUAGGGUAAAUCGUAACAACAGUUUAGCUUUCCAAUUUUCAUCCUUAUAGCUGCAUGAAUUAGCGAAGUAACUGAUUGUUCCUAUUAACCUGAACUGAAGGUUCUUUAUGUGGCACACGCCUGAACUCACUCAAGUUGAUUCGCUGAAAGAAACCUAACUUGUCGGAACAGAUACUGAUUUAGGAAUUCUAGCAUUAGUUUACCUCUAUCCCCUUACCACCGUGGUCGAGUUACAUUGCGGAUUUGAGCUUCAACUGUUCCGAGCUUAUUGAACUCUCAUGCGAUUGAUGCUUGUACGUUCACUGCAUUUCCCCCUUCCUCUCCAUCCGCUCUUGCCUGCCCGUCGUCUCCUUCAUGUCCCAGCCUCUACAUUUUCCCCUUCCUCUCCAUCUGCUCUUGCCUGCCUGUUGUCUCCUUCAUGUCCCAGCCUCUACAUUUUCCCCCUCCUCUCCAUCCGCUCUUGCCUGCCUGUCAUCUCCUUCAUGUCCCAGCCUCUACAUUUUCCCCUUCCUCUCCAUCUGCUCUUGCUUGCCUGUCGUCUCCUUCAUGUCCCAGCCUCUACCAUGUCAUCCUUGCCGACGAGCUCGGCCUCUGUGGCAGCAGCCCCAUGGCCGCCGGUAUGUGGAAUGAGAAUGUCCAGUUGUUCUUCAACACUAACAGAGGUCCCCUGUUCUUUUCCUAUAGAUGAAUGUUUCAUUCAUUGAUAAUUUGCAGUGCAUGUCUAUCAUAAUUCUGUAAUUUAUUUGUUCUUUGGACUAAUGCAUUGGUAUAAAAAUUAACUAUUGAAGUCACAUCUUGGAGACUACUCUGUUCUAGAAUGCAUGAUGGAAGGUACAUGAGAUCGUUAGUUUAUUAUCUGGUCUUUCACACCCAUUGACAGUGAUCUCAUUUGAAGGUUGGAGGGCCGGGUCUCCUCAGAAUCAUUUGAGAUCGUCACACCAGUUUCUUCUAAAGCUGUAUUUGAAGCUAAAAGGAUGGUGCUUCUGUUCUUUGAUUGAUAUUUUAUCCCAGCAUCAUCGGAAACUAACUACUUGAUAUUUUGGUCUGCUAUCUUACCUGUACUUGUCCCUUCAGAUAUAUGGCACUCAUUUUAUUUUAAAAACAAAGUUGAUUUAUUGAGGAGCUGCAGACUAUCUCAGUUUGCAUAUGCUUUUAGUGUCGAAAAUAAUUUAGCCAUGUUUGAAACUGUAGUUAAUAGCUUCAUCUAAAUAUUGAUCUGUUGUGUUAUUGCAGGGAAUAGAUGUGAAAUGCUCAACUUAGGAGGGAGCAUAGACAAGGAAUCUGAAGUUGGAAAGAAACAACUGGAUAUCAAAGCAAAAGUAUCACGUCUCCUCUUAGAAAUCAGCUAACUAUUCUAAUUCUGGAGACUCUUAUGGCCCUAGAUCUGCCAGGCAGUUGCAAUUGUUGCUUUAGUCAAACUAAAAAAUUGUUAACUUUGCAGUGUAAGCGGACCCUUUAGCAGGAGAGCAACACAACUGCUAGCUUCCCUGAGAUGGAUACGAAGUCCGUGGAGGGUCAGAAUACAAAGCUCUACUAGGUGAUGGAGCUGGAGAAGUUGAGUACUUCCAGUCUCUUGACGAACGAAUCAUUAAAUGAAGGGAGUUUCUGAUCCUAUUAAAUGUCAUUGCGGACUGGAGUACAAUGUAGAACUAGGCAGGGAUGCCAUGGGUGCAAGAUGAACUCAUUAUAUAGAUGACCACAGGUCCAGUGUGUUUAAAGUAUGCAUAUGUGCGGCUGCCGUAUGUACAGCUUGACAACUCCAUAUAGAGAAACUGGAUAAAGUGCCAGUGCCGCAGGAGCAAAACAGCGCCCCAGAUGAAACCAACACGGAUGACGAUUAACUUCUCUGACCUUAAUCACAUUAAUGAGUGAACUUUCUUGUAAUCCUUUUUCCUGACACUAUAAGGCAAUGGCUUAGCCUGAUAUUUUGGUAGUUGUGUAAGUUGAAACAUGAUGCUAAGCCGAACAAUUUAUUGUCCUUUUUUCGCAUGAUAUCACAUUUUGGUAGUUGUGAAGCCUAAACCAUGAUGCUUUUGCUACUGCUGUAGUCCCUAAUGAAAUUGUGAGAUAAUGUAGUUAAGCUAAGUUUCUUUUGUUUCAAUAAAACAGAUGCUGGUAGUUGCAUAAGUUGAACCAUGAUGCUGGUUAAGCUAAUCUCAUUGAUUGCACUCCCAAAAAUCACAGGAGCCAUUCAGAAAAAGAUUAGUAGAGUUCUUUACUGUUGAAAUUUCUGAGGGGAUUUAUGGAAGAUCACAGGACGAUAUUUCGGGAGUCUAAUGAUCACGGUGCAUUUGAUAUUGAUGGCUUGGGAAAUCAUAUGGCGAUAGGGUCUGAUGAUGUCUGAUGAAGGAAUAGUCACAAGCAGAGAUGGCCUAAAGGCUCUUGGAUACAACUGUUCUUUUAGUAUGCCAUUGACGGACAUAAGUCGAUGUUUUCAGUCAGGAUGAGCUUUGAUUCUAAAUGAUAUUAGAUAUGCACUCAUGUACUUUCUACACGAUUUUUCUUUGGUUUAUUCAGUCUCUUGGGGUGCUCAUAGAAGUAGGGUUGCGUAUGUUCAUACGCUUGUUGUGAGGGUCUUCGUCUGUAUAAGUGUUUCUAAAUAGACUUAAGUUUAUUAAAUUCCAUAUAGGUAAUCCUUAUUAUUGAAUAAUAGUAUUAUUUGAAAGGGUUCAUUUUCUACUCUUU